rnacentral:rRNA from 1 species
AGUCGANCGCAGUAGCAAUACUGAGUGGCAGACGGGUGAGUAACAUGUGGGAAUCUGCCUUGUGGUUCAGGACAACAUUGGGCAACCGAUGCUAAUACUGGAUAAGCCCUUACGGGGAAAGUUUUAAUGCCAUAAGAUGAGCCCGCAUUUGAUUAGUUAGUUGGUGAGGUAAUGGCUCACCAAGACAAUGAUCAAUAGCUGAUCUGAGAGGAUGAUCAGCCACACUGGGACUGAGACACGGCCCAGACUCCUACGGGAGGCAGCAGUGGGGAAUCUUGCACAAUGGAGGAAACUCUGAUGCAGCGAUGCCGCGUGAGUGAAGAAGGCCUUUGGGUUGUAAAGCUCUUUUGUAGGGGAAGAUAAUGACUGUACCCUAAGAAUAAGGUCCGGCUAACUUCGUGCCAGCAGCCGCGGUAAUACGAAGGGACCUAGCGUAGUUCGGAAUUACUGGGCGUAAAGCGCGCGUAGGCCGUUGAGUUAGUUAAUUGUGAAAUCCCAAAGCUUAACUUUGGAACUGCAAUUAAAACUGCUCGACUAGUGUUUGAUAGAGGAAAGCGGAAUACAUAGUGUAGAGGUGAAAUUCGUAGAUAUUAUGUAGAACACCAGUUGCGAAGGCGGCUUUCUGGAUCAACACUGACGCUGAGGCGCGAAAGUAUGGGUAGCAAAGAGGAUUAGAUACCCUCGUAGUCCAUACCAUAAACGAUGAUUGCUAGAUGUUGGAAAUUUAUUUUCANUAUCGCAGCUAACGCAUUAAGCAAUCCGCCNGGGGAGUACGACCGCAAGGUUAAAACUCAAAUGAAUUGACGGGGANCCGCACAAGCGGUGGANCAUGUGGUUUANNUCGAUGAUACGCGAGGAACCUUACCUGGGCUAGA